rnacentral:rRNA from 1 species
GACGAACGCUGGCGGCGUGCCUAAUACAUGCAAGUCGAACGCAGUGGGAACUGGUGAGUAACACGUGGGUAACCUCCCCUCAGAGGGGAUAACACUUGGAAACAGGUGCUAAACCGCUACUGAUGGAUGGACCCGCGGUGCAUUAGCUAGUUGGUGAGGUAACGGCUCACAAAGGCCACGAGGCAUAGGCGACCUGAGAGGGUGAUCGGCCACACUGGGACUGAGACACGGCCCAGACUCCUACGGGAGGCAGCAGUAGGGAAUCUUCGGCAAUGGACGAAAGUCGGACCGAGCAACGCCGCGUGAGUGAAGAAGGUUUUCGGAUCGUAAAACUCUGUUGUUAGAGAAGCGGUAUCUAACCAGAAAGCCACGGCUAACUACGUGCCAGCAGCCGCGGUAAUUC